AUCACGGUGGCGCAGUGGGUUAGCACUGUCACCUUGCGAGAAGAAGGUUCCGGAUUCAAGUCCCGGCUGGCUG
rnacentral:tRNA from 1 species